AAGUUCAGACGCGCACGAAUGGUAUAACGACUUGGGAACUGUCUCGGGGAUUUGCUCGGUGAAAAUACAAGGGCGGUGAAGAUGCCGCCUUCCUGCAGCUAGACGAAAAGACCCCAGAAGCUUUACUGCAACUUGGUAUUGGAAUUACGGGUGCGCUGCGUAGCGUAGGUGGGAGACUUUGAAGCAUCGGUUUCGGCCGACGUGGAGUCGCCAAUGCAACACCACCCUUCGUUUCUGUAAUUUCUAACCGCGAUGGAGAAACCAUCGCGAGACAGUACCUGGUGGGCAGUUUCGGUGGGGCGCUGUCCUCCUAAAAAGUAACGGAGGAGCCUAUUAAGGUCACCUAGGCGCGAAUGGAAACCGUGCCGAUAGUGUAUUGGCAAAAGGUGGCUUGACUGCGAGGCGUACAUGCCAAGCAGGCGCGAAAGCGGAGCAAAGUGAACCGACGGUCCGCAUUAGAUGCGGCCGAAGAUUAACGGAUAAAAGUUACUCUGGGGAUAACAGGCUGGUAUUGCCUAAGAGUCCAAAUCGACGGCAAUGUUCGGCACCUCGAUGUCGGCUCAUCUCAUCCUGGGGGUGGAGAAGCUCCCAAGGGUAUGGCUGUUCGCCAUUUAAAGAGGUACGUGAGCUGGGUUCAAACCGUUCAGCGGCUGAUAAAAUAUCGGCAAUUGAAUGGUUUGAGCCCCGAGGGAAAUGACAUAAUCACGGCGGCGCAUUACAGCAAUGUAGUGCGAGAAGCUAACUAAUAUCGGUGAAAUCCUGCUAAACUUAACAGGACAACACCGAGGAAAGUCACUAUGAAAGAAGGAUUCCACAAACCCCCUACGCCGGAUCAGAAUGAAGAUAGGAGAUUAAGGGAACAAAUGGAGUUACAUCAGGAUUGGGAAGGUGCACUGAAAGCAAUGGCAAGGACUGCCUCCACGGAGGAAUGUACCGAAGUGGUUAGUGCCACAACCCGCCCUCCUGCUGAGCUUGAGAAAUAUCUAACCGAUAAUUUCUCUCGUUUAACAGAACCUUCAAAGAACUUUAUUCUUCAAAGUUUGCGAGUGAAAAACUUUGGGAAGAACAAAGAUCUGUGACGUCCGUAGAGACUGAAUGUUAGCCUUCCGGCAACGGAAGAAGUUACAGUCCAAUACACACAGUAAUGUGUGACAAAUAUGCGUGAGACAGGUUGGUCUUAAUCUGCUGUAGGCGUUGAUUCUUGAGGAGAUUUGUUUCUAGUACGAGAGGACCGAAAUGAACUGACCUCUGGUCUGGGGGCUGUACCGCCAGGUGCAUCGCCCCGUAGCUAUGUCGGGAUAGGAUAACCGCUGAAAGCAUCUAAGCGGGAAGCCAACUCCAAGAUUAGGAAUCGUUGAGGCUCGUGGAAGAUGACCACGUUGAUAGGCGCUAGGUGGAAGCACUGCAAAGUGUUGAGCCGAGGCGUACUAAUCCGCCGAUCAGAACUCUCGA
rnacentral:rRNA from 1 species